rnacentral:rRNA from 1 species
GAUGAACGCUAGCUACAGGCUUAACACAUGCAAGUCGAGGGGAAACGACAUCGAAAGCUUGCUUUUGAUGGGCGUCGACCGGCGCACGGGUGAGUAACGCGUAUCCAACCUGCCCACCACUUGGGGAUAACCUUGCGAAAGUAAGACUAAUACCCAAUGAUAUCUCUAGAAGACAUCUGAAAGAGAUUAAAGAUUUAUCGGUGAUGGAUGGGGAUGCGUCUGAUUAGCUUGUUGGCGGGGUAACGGCCCACCAAGGCAACGAUCAGUAGGGGUUCUGAGAGGAAGGUCCCCCACAUUGGAACUGAGACACGGUCCAAACUCCUACGGGAGGCAGCAGUGAGGAAUAUUGGUCAAUGGACGAGAGUCUGAACCAGCCAAGUAGCGUGCAGGAAGACGGCCCUACGGGUUGUAAACUGCUUUUAUAAGGGAAUAAAGUGAGUCUCGUGAGACUUUUUGCAUGUACCUUAUGAAUAAGGACCGGCUAAUUCCGUG